UUUGCUGGUAUCUUGCUUCUAAUGAUGCCAGAAGAAAAUGCAUUCUGGGCAUUGGUGGGUCUUAUUGAUGAAUACUUUGAUGGCUGUUACUCACAAGAGAUGAUAGAAUCCCAGGUGGAUCAAUUGGUGUUUGAGGAGUUGGUGCGCGAAAGGUUUCCGAAACUUGUCAAUCAUCUUGAUUACUUGGGAAUGCAAGUGGCAUGGAUUUCUGGACCUUGGUUUCUUUCAAUUUUUGUAAAUGUGCUUCCCUGGGAAAGUGUCCUCCGAGUUUGGGAUGUGCUUCUCUUUGAGGGAAAUCGUGUCAUGAUCUUUCGAACAGCACUUGCUUUGAUGGAGUUGUAUGGUCCUGCUGUAGUUACAACUAAGGAUGCUGGGGAUGCAAUCACCUUAUUUCAAUCCCUUACAGGCUCAACUUUUGAUAGUAGCCAACUUGUGUUGACAGCUUGUAUGGGUUUCUUAAAUGUUACUGAAGAUAGGUUGCUAGCACUGAGAGAAAAACAUCGGCCAGCUGUGCUUGCAGUUUCUCAGGAGAGAUCAAAGGGAGGGCCUGUUAAGAAAGAUCCAAAAGGUCUUGCCUCCAAGCUGUAUAGUUUUAAGCAUGAUCCUGAUUCUUUUAUGAAAGAAAUGAAGCCAGAGGAAUGCUCAGGUGAUAAGAAAACAGACAAUAAAAUAUCAGACUCAAAUUCCAACUCCGCAAGUAUGGAUGAAUUUCUCAACAGCUUUAACAUAGAUUCACAUGUUGAUUCCCUUCCAGGUCUUCAAGAACAGGUUGUUUGGUUGAAGGUUGAGCUCUGCAGGACACUGGAAGACAAGCGAGCAGCUACCCUGAGAGCUGAAGAGUUGGAGACAGCGCUUAUGGAGAUGGUCAAAGAAGAUAACCGACGACAAUUAAGUGCUAGGGUUGAGCAAUUGGAGCAAGAAGUAGCUGACUUGCGACACACCCUUAAUGAUAAGAA
rnacentral:misc_RNA from 1 species